rnacentral:rRNA from 1 species
UGGGGUAUCUUGCGCAAUGGGGGAAACCCUGACGCAGCGACGCUGCGUGCGGGAUGAAGGCCUUCGGGUUGUAAACCGCUUUUGAUUGGGAGCAAGCCUUUUGGGUGAGUGUACCUUUCGAAUAAGCCCCGGCUAACUACGUGCCAGCAGCCGCGGUAAUACGUAGGGGGCUAGCGUUAUCCGGAUUUACUGGGCGUAAAGGGUGCGUAGGUGGUCUUUCAAGUCGGUGGUUAAAGGCUACGGCUCAACCGUAGUUAGCCUCCGAAACUGGAAGACUUGAGUGCAGGGGAGGAAAGUGGAAUUCCCAGUGUAGCGGUGAAAUGCGUAGAUAUUGGGAGGAACACCAGCAGCGAAGGCGGCUUUCUGGACUGCAACUGACACUGAGGCACGAAAGCGUGGGUAGCAAACAGG